UACGUAGGGCGCGAGCGUUGUCCGGAAUUAUUGGGCGUAAAGAGCUCGUAGGCGGCCUGUCGCGUCAAUUGUGAAAGCCCGGGGCUUAACCCCGGGUCUGCAGUCGAUACGGGCAGGCUAGAGUGUGGUAGGGGAGAUCGGAAUUCCUGGUGUAGCGGUGAAAUGCGCAGAUAUCGGGAGGAACACCGGUGGCGAAGGCGGCAUCCUGGACUGGUACUGACGCUCAUGAGCGAAAGCGUGGGGAGCGAUCCGG
rnacentral:rRNA from 1 species